GGGCCCAUAGCUCAAUGGCAGAGCUACCGGCUCAUAACCGGUUGGUUCCAGGUUCAAGUCCUGGUGGGCCCACCA
rnacentral:tRNA from 1 species